AUUGAACGCUGGCGGCAGGCUUAACACAUGCAAGUCGAACGAGUGGCGGACGGGUGAGUAAUGCUUGGGAAUCUAGCUUAUGGAGGGGGAUAACUACGGGAAACUGUAGCUAAUACCGCGUACCAUAGGAUGAGCCCAAGUGGGAUUAGGUAGUUGGUGGGGUAAAGGCGCACCAAGCCGACGAUCUCUAGCUGGGCUGAGAGGAUGACCAGACACACGGGGACGGGUGCACGGCCCAGACGCCUACGGCAGGAAGCAGGGGGGAUGAUUGCGCAAUGGGGUCAACCUGACUCAGCCAUGCCGCGUGAAUGAAGAAGGCCUUCGGGUUGUAAAGUGCUUUCGGUAGCGAGGCGUUACCUACAGAAGAAGCACCGGCUAACUCCGUGCCAGCAGCCGCGGUAAUUC
rnacentral:rRNA from 1 species